rnacentral:snRNA from 1 species
GCAGCGCAUACAUAUAGUAAAACUGGAACAAUACAGAAAAGAUUAGCAUGUCCUCUGCACAAAGAUGGUAUGCAAAUUUAUGAAGCAUUUCAUGUUUUU